AUUGAACGCUGGCGGCAGGCCUAACACAUGCAAGUCGAGCGAGAAAGGUCUUCGGACUGAGUACAGCGGCGGACGGGUGAGUAAUGCGCAGGAAUCUACCUGGUAGUGGGGGAUAACUCGGGGAAACUCGAACUAAUACCGCAUACGCCUACGGGGAAAGCGGGGACCUUCGGGCCUCGCGCUAUCGGAUGAGCCUGCGUAGGAUUAGCUUGUUGGUGAGGUAAAGGCUUACCAAGGCGACGAUCCUUAGCUGGUCUGAGAGGAUGAUCAGCCACACUGGAACUGAGACACGGUCCAGACUCCUACGGGAGGCAGCAGUGGGGAAUAUUGCGCAAUGGGCGAAAGCCUGACGCAGCCAUGCCGCGUGUGUGAAGAAGGCCUUCGGUU
rnacentral:rRNA from 1 species